AGCUGAGAAGUACAGGUCA
rnacentral:snRNA from 1 species